rnacentral:rRNA from 1 species
AAAGCGCGCGUAGGUGGUUUGUUAAGUUGGAUGUGAAAUCCCCGGGCUCAACCUGGGAACUGCAUUCAAAACUGACUGACUAGAGUAUGGUAGAGGGUGGUGGAAUUUCCUGUGUAGCGGUGAAAUGCGUAGAUAUAGGAAGGAACACCAGUGGCGAAGGCGACCACCUGGACUGAUACUGACACUGAGGUGCGAAAGCGUGGGGAGCAAACAGGAUUAGAUACCCGGGU